rnacentral:rRNA from 1 species
CAGCACCUCAAGUGGUCAGGAUGAUUAUUGGGCCUAAAGCAUCCGUAGCCGGCUCUGUAAGUUUUCGGUUAAAUCUGUAUGCUCAACAUACAGGCUGCCGGGAAUACUGCAGAGCUAGGGAGUGGGAGAGGUAGACGGUACUCGGUAGGAAGGGGUAAAAUCCUUUGAUCUAUUGAUGACCACCUGUGGCGAAGGCGGUCUGCCAGAACACGUCCGACGGUGAGGGAUGAAAGCUGGGGGAGCAAACCGGAUUAGAUACCCGAGUAGUCC